UCGAUGGAGAGUUUGAUCCUGGCUCAGGACGAACGCUGGCGGCGUGCUUAAUACAUGCAAGUCGAACGAGGUCCAUCCGGUGGCAACACCGGUGAAGACCUAGUGGCGAACGGGUGAGUAGCACGUGAGCAACCUGCCCCGAAGACUGGGAUAACACCGGGAAACCGGUGCUAAUACCGGAUAUCCCCAUCGGAUCGCAUGAUCUGAUGAGGAAAGGGUUUCUGCUUCGGGAGGGGCUCGCGGCCUAUCAGCUUGAUGGUGAGGUAACGGCUCACCAUGGCGACGACGGGUAGCUGGUCUGAGAGGACGAUCAGCCACACUGGGACUGAGACACGGCCCAGACUCCUACGGGAGGCAGCAGUAGGGAAUCUUGCGCAAUGGGCGAAAGCCUGACGCAGCAACGCC
rnacentral:rRNA from 1 species